rnacentral:lncRNA from 1 species
CAUGUCCCUCAUCCUCUUCUUACUGCUCCAUAUCGGUUUUCACAGAUUUUCUCUUCUUUCUAUGAAAAGCAUGCAUUCUUAAAGAAAGAAAUAAGGGAACAAGUGAAAAGUGUCACAAGCGAGGCCCCUCGAGAUGAGGGUCUGAGGGGCUUAGGCAGCGACGGUUUCCUUGCGCUCUGAGUUGUGCAGGGAACCAAGUUCUUAUCUGCAAGACGGGGACCGGUCACCCAUCUUCUGCAAGGUCCCUGGAGCAGGGCCUGUGCACAAGGCCAGGCUGCAGGAAGGCCCGGAAGCUUCCCCGGGGGUGCGUGUUGUCGGCUGAUACACAGAUGGGACUUUUCUGCUUGUCCCAAGAAUGUGGAAGGAGCCACAAAGCUGAGAAGGACAAGUGGUGAGAGCCUUGCAUUUUGAGAGGUGCGACACCCCGGGAUCCUGUCUGACGGAAAGAGCAGAGCUGUCCCCAGCAGUCAACCCCGCCAGCCACCUCCAGCCUGGAUGGAUGGGGGCCUGAGUGUGGGUCGAGGCAUUGUCUCCAUCGUCCUCUUGGUAAGAGCAUCUCCUGAAGCUCAGCUGAGCACUGGGCCGUCCAGCUAGAGGCCAUUCCCAGCUCUCUUUGUGGUAGGAGUGGACACGGCAUCGAGUUGCGGUCAAUGGGAUGUGAGAGGAAGGGACGCGCGCAACCUCUGGCCACAGCCUUGAAAAGGCAGCCGUUCCCGGCGCUCUCUCCUUCUCUCUCUGGGGCUGGACCACCAGCCAGUGGGAACGAUGGAGAUGAGGCGGACGCCCUUGGACGGGGAGGAACAACGCGAUAGGAGGAACCAGCUCCUUCCGCAGCCUCAGGGCGUGGAGCUCCUCAGCCACCCUGGUCCACCCGCAAACUGCAGGCGGUCAUGAAAGAGACAGCCAUGUGCCUGUGCAGACACGACUUUGAAACCAACAGUGUGUCUAGCUGGGUGUCCAGGAGCCAGAGGAAGAAGGUUUGGUGACCAUCUGGCCAGCGUCUGCCACAACCUCUCAAUGAUCCAUUGUUUCAUUCUCAAAAAUGGAGCGGGAAGCACAAAGCAAAUGGGGGAAGGAAAAGGCGAUAUCGUCACCAAGAGUUGAAGACUCCCAGGGAAAUAUAAAGUGGAAAGGAAAGUCGAAGGGAAUUCUGGGUCAGAGCCUGGCUUCUGCCCCGAGUUGGCCAAAACUCUUUCUGACCUUGCCAGUGGGCAAGGACGUGGGAUUUCUCAGGAAAGAGUCUUCUCUGAAGGCCCUGAUUGGGGAGUGUUGGUGAACUCAGCCUGAACUGUCUUGUCCUGAAUCGCUGGGGUCUGUGUAGCUGAGGGCCAGGGGGUGUGGGGUGUAUGUGUGUGUGGGGGGUGCUCAGAGUGAUGCUGGAUAAAUGAUUCGGGAUCCCCUUAUUGGGGGCUGACCAUUCACCCCACCCGGGGCUCAGAGAUGGACGCUUGUGACGGUUCCCGCUGAUGCCUCCGUUGAAAGACGGCCACAUGGAGACCAAGGAGGCCAACAAGGGUGCCCAACCCCACGGUGUCCCCAUGAUGAGGGCAACCUGGGUGGGACUCCUCAUUCUGAGCCCACGACCCCUCCUCAUUACCGCGCAUGCUUUGAAGGAAGGAAGCAGUGCGCACGUGCACGGAGGAAGAAGGUUCCAGGGGGCAUAGCGGCCCCAAGAAGGCCCACACCUGCCACCCCCACUUGCACUUAGGGUCGUUAGAAACCGAUUCUGUGGGAACCCACCCUCCCUCCUGGAAAACGAGAAGGGGCUUGCUAACGUAGCAAGCACCGCGGACCAUCUCACCCGCCUUCUCCAGGACAGCGGUGUCAGCAUCCUCACCCGCAUUGUGCAAGCGGGAACCUCCAGGCUGACCGUGGAGGGCUUGCCAAGCUCCAGGAGUCUGGAGCGCGUGGAGCUGAGUCUGCCCGGUGCCGUGGUCCUGGCUUCCUCCCUCCGCGUCCAGACCUGUGCGAAGACUCCUUUCCUCGGGAAGCAGGAGAGGCAGAAGGAAUCCAGAAGUUUCCAUCCUGCUGUCGUCUCAAUGCCAUCCUGUGAUGGGUCUGCACCUUCCUACCAUGCCUCCAAGCAGAGCCUCAGCCUGCCAGUGCUGGCGAGUUCCUGCGGCUGCAGCUGUUACCGGGGUCAUAGCUCUAAGUCUUGGCUCGGGGCUGGCUCUGUCGCAGAGGAUGCAUUCACGAGGGCCCCGCAUUUGUGCCCUCCCUGCCUGGACCCCCGACUAGUGGCUGUGAAAACCCAUCCUCAGGCUCUGGGACAGAUCCACGUGAUCCCCUGAUAGGGAGCACAUGCUCUUCCACUGAUGCGAUUUUCCCUGAGCUCUUUCCCCCACACUCUCCCCUCCACCCCUGGCUCACGUAUGAGACACCACGGAGUUUCACGGUCAGAGGCACAAACACAUACACGAUCAGAAGAAGAGGAAGAUAGAUUUCUAGUGUUGUCGUUGCACUGAUUUGAGAAGUGAGGGUGAAACCAGGAGGUUCCUUCUCCCCGGCACAGUCCCUGUAUCCGUCAGCUAUCGCCCCAGUGGGACCAUGUAACAAACCCCUCUCAAACCCAGGGGCACAACACCCAUCAGCAUCGCUUUCUUGCUCGGGUGUCUGGUUGGCUGCAGUGGCUCUGUCCUGAGGGGCGGGUCUGUGGACUGGUCGGGGUUUGGCUGACCCGUUGAGCUUGGCUCUGGGCCAGGACGUGGUCCACGUGUCUCCGCUUCCUGGGAGCAGCAGGCUCCCACACGAGUGACCUCAAGGCACUGGUCACUUAUAAGAUGCGGGACCCUGGGUAAAGCUUGUCUGAGCCCCCGUUUCCUUGUGUGUAAGAUGGAGGGUGACAUUAGUCCACGUCCAAGCUUGUGGUGGGAAUUGAGCGAGAAGGAUGUGCCCAAAAACAGAGCAGCCACACGGCAGCCACUGCAAGUGUCACAAGAGGUCUCUGCAGGAGGUGCGUAUGUAGCAGUGAAGUCCUCUGGACGUUAGCACCCGGAGGACUGGGGGCCCUGGCCUUGCUCUUCAAUAUGGGCAAGGAGAGCCCACACGGCUGAAGACGUUUCUACCUCUCGGUGGCUCCGGAACCAAGGGUCCCCUUGCAAGUCCUCGUGUGCUGUGUCUGAACGUCAUAGCACGCUUCCUAGACACACUCAAGCCUUGAAAACAGGCUGGCCCCAGAGGGGUGAGGGCCGUCAGGACCUCACAUUCCUUGUCCCCCAGAGGGAAACCUCCCCUGGGACCCGACAGAGCCACAUUCUGCAACUUGUCGGUUUUAUGUGAAGCUGAGGAAGGAAGGCCCGAAUACUGGGAGGAUUAAGCCAUGCCACCACCUCUGUCGUAUGCAGGAUUUGUCCUCAUCUGCGACUCAGAGGUGGCUGGGAUAAGAUGGACAGGUUCACCCAAGUCUCUGAUGUAGAAUCUCUGUCUUUUUUGGGAGACCACAGUACUUUUGAGAAUCCGAUGGAAGCCAUUGAACUUUCACCCCCCCGCCCCCCAACAAAGCACGGAGAUGUGCAAUCUUUUGGAUAUGACUUCAAGCAGCUCGUAUGCUCCCUGAAGAUCAUUAAUAUAUGAGACAUGAAGAACCCCAGUCUAGGGACACAUCAGAAGACAGGAGCCAUGAAGGGCUCCCAUUGGACAGGGCUGGGAAUUUGAGCAUUGUGACGUACAACGCCCAUAAUGGAUUAUAAUCCAAUGACCAAAACAGGAAUCCAUGAGUCCACACUGAUAAUGAACUAGUAGACGGAGAGAUACAUAAAUAGUGGGGAAGAGAGAGCUCUCGAGGUGGAGUACCAGCUAACGAAGGGAAAAAGAGAACACCAUCCUAACCAAGCAAAGUCAGCAUCGCCAAGAUUGGGACCCAGGGACAUCCCGUGCCUCCUGAUGACACGCACCCGGAAGGACACAGCUUCAGUUCCGUGUCAGCCCCGCGAAAACCCAAUCACAAGGAAACGGCGACAGACACAAAUCAGGGAGCAGCCUGCGGAGAAACUCAACCGUCCUCUUCAAAAGGCUAGCGUCACGGAGACAAGGAAAGAACGGAAGAACCAUCCAGAAUAAAGGAAGCUUGAAAAGACGCGAUGCUAAAUGCAACGAUUGAUCUUAUUUUGAAAGAAAAUGCUGUGAAGAACGUUAUGGGGACAAUUGGAAAAAUCCUAGUAGGAACCAUGCCUUAGAUAAUAUUAUUUCAGUGGUAAAUUGUCUGCAUUUAAUAAUCGCAUGGUGGUCAAUCUCAUUAAAAAUCUUAUUUGUUCUUCAAAGAAUAUAAUGGUGCUAUGGUUUUGUAAGAAAGUGUCCUUGUUAUUAAAAGAGACACGCUGGGAUAUUUAAGGACUCCUGGGGCCUCAAUUGUAUCCUUCGCCAAAUUCACCUCCUGAAGCCCUAAGGCCCAGGGUGGCUGGACUUGGAGUAAGGAAGUAAUUAAGGUAAGGUGGGGUCAUGAGGGUGGGCCCUGAUCUGAUGGAAUUAGUGCCCUUAUAAGAAAUGAC